UGGGGAAUUUUGGACAAUGGGCGAAAGCCUGAUCCAGCAAUGCCGCGUGUGUGAAGAAGGCCUUCGGGUUGUAAAGCACUUUUGUCCGGAAAGAAAUCCUUGGCUCUAAUACAGUCGGGGGAUGACGGUACCGGAAGAAUAAGCACCGGCUAACUACGUGCCAGCAGCCGCGGUAAUACGUAGGGUGCAAGCGUUAAUCGGAAUUACUGGGCGUAAAGCGUGCGCAGGCGGUUUGCUAAGACCGAUGUGAAAUCCCCGGGCUCAACCUGGGAACUGCAUUGGUGACUGGCAGGCUAGAGUAUGGCAGAGGGGGGUAGAAUUCCACGUGUAGCAGUGAAAUGCGCAGAGAUGUGGAGGAAUACCGAUGGCGAAGGCAGCCCCCUGGGCCAAUACUGACGCUCAUGCACGAAAGCGUGGGGAGCAAACAGGAUUAGAUACCCUGGUAGUCCACGCCCUAAACGAUGUCAACUAGUUGUUGGGGAUUCAUUCCUUAGUAACGUAGCUAACGCGUGAAGUUGACCGCCUGGGGAGUACGGUCGCAAGA
rnacentral:rRNA from 1 species